rnacentral:rRNA from 1 species
AUUGAACGCUGGCGGCAGGCCUAACACAUGCAAGUCGAGCGGAUGAAGGGAGCUUGCUCCUGGAUUCAGCGGCGGACGGGUGAGUAAUGCCUAGGAAUCUGCCUGGUAGUGGGGGAUAACGUCCGGAAACGGGCGCUAAUACCGCAUACGUCCUGAGGGAGAAAGUGGGGGAUCUUCGGACCUCACGCUAUCAGAUGAGCCUAGGUCGGGUUAGCUAGUUGGUGGGGUAAAGGCCUACCAAGGCGACGAUCCGUAACUGGUCUGAGAGGAUGAUCAGUCACACUGGAACUGAGACACGGUCCAGACUCCUACGGGAGGCAGCAGUGGGGAAUAUUGGACAAUGGGCGAAAGCCUGAUCCAGCCAUGCCGCGUGUGUGAAGAAGGCCUUCGGAUUGUAAAGCACUUUAAGUUGGGAGGAAGGGCAGUAAGUUAAUACCUUGCUGUUUUGACGUUACCAACAGAAUAAGCACCGGCUAACUUCGUG